UCCGAUUUGUCACCGGCAGUCUCCCUAGAGUCCCCGACAUUACUCGCUGGCAACUAAUGACAAGGGUUGCGCUCGUUGCGGGACUUAACCCAACAUCUCACGACACGAGCUGACGACAGCCAUGCAGCACCUGUGUUACGGUUCUCUUUCGAGCACUAAGCCAUCUCUGGCAAAUUCCGUACAUGUCAAAGGUGGGUAAGGUUUUUCGCGUUGCAUCGAAUUAAACCACAUCAUCCACCGCUUGUGCGGGUCCCCGUCAAUUCCUUUGAGUUUCGACCUUGCGGCCGUACUCCCCAGGCGGGGCGCUUAAUGCGUUAGCUGCGGCACGGAGGACGUGGAAUGUCCCCCACACCUAGCGCCCAACGUUUAAGGCCAGGACUAC
rnacentral:misc_RNA from 1 species